rnacentral:lncRNA from 1 species
UAAAUUUGUAAAUCAAUACCGGUGUUUUAAUCUCAUUUAUUUAUGAAGAAAAAGUAUCGCAUGAAACUCAUAAAUAACAUAUUUGGCUUUCUUAUUCAGGAUAUAUCUUCAGGAAACAAGAUUUGUCGUUGCAACUCAUGUAAAUACACAUGUAUAAGCGCUAGAUUUUUAAACAAACCAUGUCCCUCUCUUAACCUUGAAUAUUUAAGUUAUCAAUCAUACAGAAAAUUGAAAAAAGUUAAUCUUUAAGAAUCUUUAGACUCAUCCAGUACACAUGGUACCAGGAUACAUACCUUUCAUAUAGCUGAUCAUAUCUGGUUUUUGGUGGGGUUCGUGUUGCUAAGUCUUUGGUUUUUCUAUUUUGUGUAUUGCAUACUUUUUUGUGUUUUGUUUGUUUUCUUUAUUUUUGCAUUGGCGUCUUUAUAUACAUAAAAAAAGAAGAUGUGGUAUGAUAGCCAAUUAGACAACUCUCAACAAGUGACCAAAUGACACAGAAAUUGACCGAAAU